GACGAACGCUGGCGGCGUGCUUAACACAUGCAAGUCGAACGAUGAAGCCUAGCUUGCUAGGUGGAUUAGUGGCGAACGGGUGAGUAAUACGUGAGUAACCUACCUUUAACUCUGGGAUAAGCCUGGGAAACUGGGUCUAAUACCGGAUACGACCAAUCUCCGCAUGGGGUGUUGGUGGAAAGCGUUAUGUAGUGGUUAUAGAUGGGCUCACGGCCUAUCAGCUUGUUGGUGAGGUAACGGCUCACCAAGGCGACGACGGGUAGCCGGCCUGAGAGGGUGACCGGCCACACUGGGACUGAGACACGGCCCAGACUCCUACGGGAGGCAGCAGUGGGGAAUAUUGCACAAUGGGCGCAAGCCUGAUGCAGCGACGCCGCGUGAGGGAUGACGGCCUUCGGGUUGUAAACCUCUGUUAGCAGGGAAGAAGAGAGAUUGACGGUACCUGCAGAGAAAGCGCCGGCUAACUACGUGCCAGCAGCCGCGGUAAUACGUAGGGCGCGAGCGUUGUCCGGAAUUAUUGGGCGUAAAGAGCUUGUAGGCGGUUUGUCGCGUCUGCUGUGAAAGGCCGGGGCUUAACUCCGUGUAUUGCAGUGGGUACGGGCAGACUAGAGUGCAGUAGGGGAGACUGGAAUUCCUGGUGUAGCGGUGGAAUGCGCAGAUAUCAGGAGGAACACCGAUGGCGAAGGCAGGUCUCUGGGCUGUAACUGACGCUGAGAAGCGAAAGCAUGGGGAGCGAACAGGAUUAGAUACCCUGGUAGUCCAUGCCGUAAACGUUGGGCACUAGGUGUGGGGGACAUUCCACGUUUUCCGAGCCGUAGCUAACGCAUUAAGUGCCCCGCCUGGGGAGUACGGCCGCAAGGCUAAACUCAAAGAAAUUGACGGGGGCCCGCACAAGCGGCGGAGCAUGCGGACUAAUUCGAUGCAACGCGAAGAACCUUACCAAGGCUUGACAUAUACUGGACCGCAUCAGAGAUGGUGUUUCCCUUCGGGGCUGGUAUACAGGUGGUGCAUGGUUGUCGUCAGCUCGUGUCGUGAGAUGUUGGGUUAAGUCCCGCAACGAGCGCAACCCUCGUUCUAUGUUGCCAGCACGUUAUGGUGGGGACUCAUAGGAGACUGCCGGGGUCAACUCGGAGGAAGGUGGGGAUGACGUCAAAUCAUCAUGCCCCUUAUGUCUUGGGCUUCACGCAUGCUACAAUGGCCGGUACAGAGGGUUGCGAUACUGUGAGGUGGAGCUAAUCCCUAAAAGCCGGUCUCAGUUCGGAUUGGGGUGUGCAACUCGACCCCAUGAAGUCGGAGUCGCUAGUAAUCGCAGAUCAGCAACGAUGCGGUGAAUACGUUCCCGGGCCU
rnacentral:rRNA from 1 species